GACGAACGCUGGCGGCGUGCUUAACACAUGCAAGUCGAACGGAAAGGCCCUGCUUUUGUGGGGUGCUUGAGUGGCGAACGGGUGAGUAACACGUGAGUAACCUGCCCUUGACUUUGGGAUAACUUCAGGAAACUGGGGCUAAUACCGGAUAGGAGCUCCUGCUGCAUGGUGGGGGUUGGAAAGUUUCGGCGGUUGGGGAUGGACUCGCGGCUUAUCAGCUUGUUGGUGGGGUAGUGGCUUACCAAGGCUUUGACGGGUAGCCGGCCUGAGAGGGUGACCGGCCACAUUGGGACUGAGAUACGGCCCAGACUCCUACGGGAGGCAGCAGUGGGAAAUAUUGCACAAUGGGCGGAAGCCUGAUGCAGCAACGCCGCGUGCGGGAUGACGGCCUUCGGGUUGUAAACCGCUUUCGCCUGUGACGAAGCGUGAGUGACGGUAAUGGGUAAAGAAGCACCGGCUAACUACGUG
rnacentral:rRNA from 1 species